rnacentral:rRNA from 1 species
AUUGAACGCUGGCGGCAUGCCUUACACAUGCAAGUCGAACGGCAGCACGGGAGCAAUCCUGGUGGCGAGUGGCGAACGGGUGAGUAAUAUAUCGGAACGUGCCCAGUCGUGGGGGAUAACGUAGCGAAAGCUACGCUAAUACCGCAUACGAUCUAUGGAUGAAAGCGGGGGAUCGCAAGACCUCGCGCGAUUGGAGCGGCCGAUAUCAGAUUAGGUAGUUGGUGAGGUAAAGGCUCACCAAGCCGACGAUCUGUAGCUGGUCUGAGAGGACGACCAGCCACACUGGGACUGAGACACGGCCCAGACUCCUACGGGAGGCAGCAGUGGGAAUUUUGGACAAUGGGCGCAAGCCUGAUCCGGCAAUGCCGCGUGCAGGAUGAAGGCCUUCGGGUUGUAAACUGCUUUUGUACGGAACGAAACGGUGAGCUCUAAUACAGUUUGCUAAUGACGGUACCGUAAGAAUAAGCACCGGCUAACUACGUG